rnacentral:lncRNA from 1 species
CCAACCACAUUUAGAGUAGGAUCAGCAGUAGCCUAUUAUACAAUAAAAAUUAUUUAAUAACAAUUAAUAGUAAAUAAAGAAGCCAAAUAUUUACAUGUUUUAUAGAACCCUUAGGUCUUCCUCUUCCUGUACUUGUGCUUGGCUGAGAUUCACUUGUUGCUGAAGAAGAACCAACACUUGACAUUGUUGAACUUAUCCCUCUUUUUCUACCAGUAGUAG